CAGGGAGACAACAAAAUGUUUAAUAUUAUUAUUUUGUCACCUUAGGUCGAUCGGUAUCUCACAUUCUUAAUUUAUUAAGGAUUUUAUUUCCUAAGUUUUUUCUAGGUCACACCCAUUACUUUUCCUGGGCCAUUAGCUCAGGUGGUUAGAGCGCACCCCUGAUAAGGGUGAGGUCCCUGGUUCAAGUCCAGGAUGGCCCAUACUCUAUGUUGGGGGUAUAGCUCAGUUGGUAGAGCGCCUGCUUUGCAAGCAGGAUGUCAGCGGUUCGAGUCCGCUUACCUCCACUGAUUACCACCUCUUCCAUAAUUAUUAGGGAAAUGUUUUGAGUAGUGAUCAAAUUCUGAACGAAUCUAGCUUCCUAAUGAAUUCAUUAAGAUGCUGGACUCAUUGAAUUAUUUUCAUUGUUUUCAGAGAACCUUGACAACUGCAUAGAUUAUUUUUAAAGACAAUAAGCAUCUUUAUGAUGCAGAUUUAUUAUUUGUGCGAAUGCAUUAAUAACAAUUCUAUUAAGCUGAUGCUUCAAUUAUGAAGUUAUU
rnacentral:tRNA from 1 species